GGAUGGAAGGCGAUCUGGCUGUGACAUCUGUCACCCCAGUGAUCACCCGGGUUGAUUCAGCUGAUCUUGCUGACAAGUCAGGUGUCCCCUUCCCCAUCACCACUCCAUGUGUGACCUCCUGAAGCUGUGCCAAAGCUUCCCCAAUAGAGGAGGACCAGUCUUCGGUCACAGAUAUACGAAUAGCUGCACUCUCCUCCUAGAACCUCCAAAAAAGCUCUCAAACUUCACUGGGGACUCCUGUCUGCAGAGGUUUUGCCUUUCCUGUCUGCAAGGCCUCAGCCACCACCACUAUCCCCUCUGCAGGCCAAG
rfam:Pongo abelii chromosome 14, whole genome shotgun sequence.